UACGCUUGAAUCUUCAGGUUCGUUUUCGCAACGACGGGCAGCUCCGACCAGAUGACGUGCAAAUUGGAAAUUUCAAGAAUCUGGACAGAAAGACCCUAUGAAGCUUGACUGUAGCUUGGAAUUGGGUUCGGGCUCUUCUUGCGCAGCCUAGGUGGGAGGCUAUGAAGGUAGACUUUUGGGUUUACUGGAGCCAACAGUGAGAGACCACUCUGGGAGAGCUAGAAUUCUAAUGGCGUUCUUUGAAGCAAGACGCUUGACAGUUUCAGGUGGGCAGUUUGACUGGGGCAGUCACCUCCUAAAAGGUAACGGAGGUGUGCAAAGGUUCCCUCAGGCUGGACGGAAAUCAGCCGUAGAGUGUAAAGGCAGAAGGGAGCUUGACUGCAAGACCUACAAGUCGAGCAGGGGCGAAAGCCGGCCUUACC
rnacentral:rRNA from 1 species